rnacentral:rRNA from 1 species
UACGGAAGGGGCGAGCGUUGUUCGGAAUCAUUGGGCGUAAAGGGCGCGUAGGUGGUCUUGUAUGUCUACCGUGAAAGCGUACGGCUCAACCGUAUUUUGUCGGUAGAAACUGCAGGACUUGAGGCUGGGAGGGGCUGGUGGAAUUCCCUGUGUAGCGGUGGAAUGCGCAGAUAUCAGGAAGAACACCUAUGGCGAAGGCAGCUCUCUGGGACGGUACUGACGCUGAGACGCGAAAGCGUGGGGAGCGAGCAGG